GAUCAACGCUGGCGGCGUGCCUGAGACAUGCAAGUCGAACGAAGGAUCGGGCUUGCUCGAUCCUUAGUGGCGGACGGCUGAGUAACGCGUAGGUGACCUACCCCGAAGUGGGGAAUAACUGCCCGAAAGGGUGGCUAAUACCGCAUGUGGUCGCACGUUCAUUCGUGCGAGUAAAGCCGCAAGGCGCUUCGGGAGGGGCCUGCGUCCGAUUAGCUCGUUGGUGGGGUAAUGGCUUACCAAGGCGACGAUCGGUAGGUGGUCUGAGAGGACGAUCACCCAGACUGGGACUGAGACACGGCCCAGACUCCUACGGGAGGCAGCAGUCGGGAAUUUUGCUCAAUGGGGGAAACCCUGAAGCAGCAACGCCGCGUGAGGGAUGAAGGCCUUCGGGUUGUAAACCUCUUUUGUCAGGGACGAUGAUGACGGUACCUGGCGAAUAAGCCACGGCUAACUACGUG
rnacentral:rRNA from 1 species